AAAAAACACGGCUGAUCCGUGGCGCUGACUCAACUUGCUUCACGCUCCGGCAGACGAGUUGCCCAAUAAAGCUCAAGCCUGACUGCUUCGGGGGCAUAUUCGCCUCGUGCGUUGCAAACGGAUUAGCCAGUGUUGUCAUAGUUAUCGCACGGCCGCUAGUCAAGUAUACGAUCAGAGCCGAGCUGAUUUUGCUUCGUCAAUACUAAUAAUUGAGUGCUAAAAUGAUCAUCACACUGCCAUGCUCCGAACUUUGAUGUUCGUUCCGGGGCAUUGUGUGCUCGUGUCCCUGACGACUUUGACACUUGAACGUCAUCCUCCGAAAGAUCCUUGACGUGGGUCGUUGGGGCACAUCGCCGCCAUAAUCGACACGCUUUGGCAAUUGUAUAUUCUGUUGCGUGUUUGGGUGGGAUACGCAGUGGGUAUGUGGAAGUGGGAACAGUGAACUUGCCUCAAGUGUCGAUCUCCGAGAAAAUCGUCGGUAAGCAGUGCUACUCCAUUUCAAGGUGAAGAUCAAAUCGAGAAGCUGGAGUUUCUAGAAUCGAUUCCCGGCCAGUUGACUCACCAGGAGUGGGGAGUCUUUCUGAUUUCUCUCUAAAAGAGUUCACAGCCAUGUUAAUCAUUCUCGACGCAGAUGGCAAUAGGGGAUUUUAUCAUAUGUGUUCGUGGAGUUGUUCUUCGUUACUUGGGCCACGACCCGAACUCUAAGAAGAUUACUUCUAGAACGAGCCGCAACUGGAUUCGAGGAUUCCUUGGGCCUGAUUUCGAUUGAAGAGUGUCAAAUGUAGCGAAGAUUCAUGAAGAUUGUAUCUAGCUAAAUUAAAGUCGACGACAAUGGAAGGAAGAUGUGAUAUUAAUGUCUAUUCCGACUGUUGAAGCACUGUAGAAAGUGCAUUCAAAGGUUUGUUCAGCGUGCAUGUGUGGUCGACCAGUUUACAUGUAGGAAAAGUCUGGCGAUCAGCAGGGAUCCUUUUUGCUCCAGCAAUUUGGUGGCUCUCCGAAAUAUGCCAUAGCAACAAGGUCUCUGGUGAACUCCAUACUUUUCCUACAUGAAAAAAAGGCUCCGAGCAUGAUCCAUUGUUGUAGAAUAGGUUGAAAAGCAUUUGAUCAUCUGAGGCCUAGUUGCUCAAACACGGCUUAGAGCAUUAAGCUAUUCCGUUUUAUCAACACCACACAAGUGAGUCGUGCAAAUAUACAUGUGUUUAUAGUUUACGGUGAAUGACUUACUGCAUUCAACUACUGGGUUAAUCAUUUGUACACCUCACUGGA